rnacentral:rRNA from 1 species
GCCUACGGGGGGCAGCAGUGGGGAAUAUUGCGCAAUGGGCGGAAUCCUGACGCAGCGACGCCGCGUGAGGGAUGACGGCCUUCGGGUUGUAAACCUCUUUCAGCAGGGACGAAGCUAACGUGACGGUACCUGCAGAAGAAGCGCCGGCUAACUACGUGCCAGCAGCCGCGGUAAUACGUAGGGCGCAAGCGUUGUCCGGAAUUAUUGGGCGUAAAGAGCUCGUAGGCGGUUUGUCGCGUCUGUCGUGAAAGCCCACGGCUUAACCGUGGGUCUGCGGUGGAUACGGGCAGACUAGAGGCAGGUAGGGGAGAAUGGAAUUCCCGGUGUAGCGGUGAAAUGCGCAGAUAUCGGGAGGAACACCGGUGGCGAAGGCGGUUCUCUGGGCCUGUACUGACGCUGAGGAGCGAAAGCGUGGGGAGCGAACAGGAUUAGAUACCCUGGUAGUCAG